CGAUCUAUCUAUAAACAGGUUGAAGGUAAAGUAAAAAUUACUGGAGGACCGAACCGGUAUCUGUUGCAAAAGAUUCGGAUGAUUUGUGGAUAGGGGUGAAAGGCUAAUCAAGCUCGGAGAUAGCUGGUUCUCCUCGAAAGCUAUUUAGGUAGCGCCUUAUAAAUAAAAAUUAAUGGUAAAGCACUGUUUUGAUUAAGAUUAUUCCGAAUCAUAACAAACUAAGAAUAUUAAUUUUUUAAUUAUAGGAGACACACUAUGGGUGAUAACGUCCAUAGUGGAAAGGGAAACAACCCAGAUCAUAAAUUAAGGUCCCUAAAUCUUAUUUAAGUGGAAAAUGAAUUUAAUAAUCUUUGACAAUCAAAAGGUGGGCUUAGAAGCAGCCAUCCUUUAAAGAAAGCGUAAUAGCUCAUUGAUAUAGAUGAUUAAUUUAAAAAAUUUAACGGGGCUAAAAUAAGUACCGAAAUUAUGAACAUUAUUUUUGUGGUAGAGGAGCGUUGUGUAAUGUUAAGAAGAUUUAUUUUAAA
rnacentral:rRNA from 1 species